rnacentral:rRNA from 1 species
AACGAACGCUGGCGGCAUGCCUAACACAUGCAAGUCGAACGAUCCCUUCGGGGAUAGUUGCUCACGGGUGCGUAACGCGUGGGAACCUGCCCUUAGGUUCGGAAUAACUCAGAGAAAUUUGAGCUAAUACCGGAUAAUGUCUUCGGACCAAAGAUUUAUCGCCUUUGGAUGGGCCCGCGUUGGUUUAGCUAGUUGGUGGGGUAAAGGCCUACCAAGGCGACGAUCCAUAGCUGGUCUGAGAGGAUGAUCAGCCACACUGGGACUGAGACACGGCCCAGACUCCUACGGCAGGCAGCGGUGGGGAAUAUUGGACAAUGGGCGAAAGCCUGAUCCAGCAAUGCCGCGUGAGUGAUGAAGGCCUUAGGGUUGUAAAGCUAUUUUACCCGGGAUGAUAAUGACAGUACCGGGAGAAUAAGCCACGGCUAACUCCGUG